AUGUGUUCGUGCGACAGCCGACAGUACAUGAGGCUUCAAUUCGACCGAGAAUCGGAUGAGAGCUACCAAGAGAAAAGGACAAGAAUUAGUGGUGCUGUGAUGAGAACAAAUGUUGAUAUCCAUAGGCAUGCAAGUAAAUUUUAUACAAGAAAGAUGUUUGAGCUAUUCGCUGAGAACGUCUUCAAAGGUGCAGCAUACCAGGUAGAGGAAUUUUUGCGGAAGAAGAAAUACGUCGCAAGGCACAAUGACGCCGACAAACGUGAGAAAUGGAGUAAAGUGGAUUUCGAGGUGAGCAUAUCAGAUGAUGGCGACUGGUUCGACUGUGAAUGUGGGCAGUUCGCCCACAUGGGGAUGCAAUGUUGCCAUGGUCUGAAGGUUAUUUUCUCAAUGUGGAGAUACCCAAGCGGCACAUCAUUAAGAGGUGGACGAAAGGUGCAAGGGACAUUUUGCCACAACACAUUGCUCACUUUCAGAAAGACCAGGCUGCCAAUCAAUUUUCAGCAGCCGGAGCUUGACUUUGUACCUACAUGCCAUGGGACUUGUCAGGAUUGGGGACUCAUCAGUCGCGACCUACGAGCUUGUGCUCGCUAG
rnacentral:rRNA from 1 species